rnacentral:misc_RNA from 1 species
GAUCCUUUUAUGUUCAAAAAUAUAUUAAUUAGUAUAUAUAUUUUUAUUCUGUUUACUCUUUAAUCCUAUGAUCAUUUUAGGUAUUAGUUUAAAUUUUAUUUAGUUUUUAUAAUUUGAUAAACACAAUUAUAUAAUCUUUAUAUUUUAUAACUUUUGAAUUAUUUAGUCUUGAAAGAGUAAUUACUCUCUCAUUUGAAUAUAUUGACUAAUAAAAAACUUGAUUUAAAUUGGAUGGAGGAAUUAAAGAGUAAACGGGACAAAAAUUUAUGACUGAUUAAUGUAUAUUUUAAAAUAAGAGGAUCAAGUAAUUAAUUUCAUUAAAAUAAAGGGACUAAAUAAUAAUUUUUCCUUUUUUAUUCUUCUUGGAUGGAGACUAUCAGGUUUAGAUUCUCAGCUUCUGCAUAUUUGAUAGGAAUUUCAUCAUAUGCUUUCCUGCAGAAACUUAUCUGCUUUUACUUUUGAUUUCUGGGUUAUCCAACAAAGUGCCUGAAUCCAAUUAAAUUUCUGUUUGGAAUAGGUAUUGGCAAUGUUGUUGACUUCAAGCAUUUCAGCGGCCUUGGCGAUUGCUCAAGUGGGGAAGAAAGGGAAUUCUCAUGCAGGUUGGUUACCAAUCUGUGGGCAAGUUUCCAAGUACUGUAACCAAGUGACGGGAGCAUUAGCUGCUGGAUUCGUUGGAAUCAUAACCUAUGCAAUUCUCCUUCUUUAUGCUGUUCACACUGUCCUUAAUCCUCUUCUUGUUCAAAAAACCUAGACAAUUAAGCUCGUCAAUAAGCUCUCUCCAGGCUUCUUAUGAUCUUGGAUUACUACUACUAAUGUCAUUUUUUUGUGUUAAUAAAAUCUGUUCUACACUCUCUGGCUGUCU